GAUGAACGCUGGCGGCGUGCCUAAUACAUGCAAGUCGAGCGAACGGACGAGAAGCUUGCUUCUCUGAUGUUAGCGGCGGACGGGUGAGUAACACGUGGAUAACCUACCUAUAAGACUGGGAUAACUUCGGGAAACCGGAGCUAAUACCGGAUAAUAUUUUGAACCGCAUGGUUCAAAAGUGAAAGACGGUCUUGCUGUCACUUAUAGAUGGAUCCGCGCUGCAUUAGCUAGUUGGUAAGGUAACGGCUUACCAAGGCAACGAUGCAUAGCCGACCUGAGAGGGUGAUCGGCCACACUGGAACUGAGACACGGUCCAGACUCCUACGGGAGGCAGCAGUAGGGAAUCUUCCGCAAUGGGCGAAAGCCUGACGGAGCAACGCCGCGUGAGUGAUGAAGGUCUUCGGAUCGUAAAACCCUGUUAUUAGGGAAGAACAUAUGUGUAAGUAACUGUGCACAUCUGGACGGUACCUAAUCAGAAAGCCACGGCUAACUACGU
rnacentral:rRNA from 1 species